AUUGAACGCUGGCGGCAGGCCUAACACAUGCAAGUCAAGCGGAUGAAGGGAAGUAGCAUCUGGAUUCAGCGGGGGAAGGGGGAGGAAAGACUAGGAAAAUGCCUGGUAGUGGGGGAUAACGUCCGGAAAAGGGGGCUAAAAUAGCAGACGAUGCGAGGGAGAAAGAGGGGGAUAUUUGGAACUCACGUUAUGAGAUGAGACGAGGCCGGAUUAGCUAGUUGGUUGGGUGAAGGAACACCAAGCCGACGAACCGUAACUGGUCUGAGAGGAUGAGAAGUCACACUGGAACUGAGACACUGUCCAGACUCCUACGGUAGGCAGCAGUGCGGAAGUUUGGACUAUUGGCGAAUGCCUGAACCACUCAUGCCGCGUGUGUGAAUAAGGUCUUCGGAUUUUAAAGCACUUUAAGUUUGUAGUAAGGGCAGUAAGUUAAUACCUUUCUGUCUUGACGUUACCUCCAGAAUAAGCCCCGGCUAACUACGUG
rnacentral:rRNA from 1 species